AAGCAGCAAAGCCGCGAGGUGGAGCGAAUCUCCAAAAAUUGUCCCAGUUCAGAUUGCAGGCUGCAACUCGCCUGCAUGAAGUCGGAAUUGCUAGUAAUCGUGGAUCAGCAUGCCACGGUGAAUACGUUCCCGGGCCUUGUACACACCGCCCGUCACACCAUGGGAGUCGGUAACACCCGAAGCCUGUAGUCUAACCGCAAGGAGGACGCCGCCGAAGGUGGGGUUGAUGAUUAGGGUUAAGUCGUAACAAGGUAAC
rnacentral:rRNA from 1 species